rnacentral:rRNA from 1 species
AUUGAACGCUGGCGGCAGGCCUAACACAUGCGAGUCGAGCGGAUGAAGGGAGCUUGCUCCUGGAUUCAGCGGCGGACGGGUGAGUAAUGCCUAGGAAUCUGCCUGGUAGUGGGGGAUAACGUCCGGAAACGGGCGCUAACACCGCAUACGUCCUGAGGGAGAAAGUGGGGGAUCUUCGGACCUCACGCUAUCAGAUGAGCCUAGGUCGGAUUAGCUAGUUGGUGGGGUAAAGGCCUACCAAGGCGACGAUCCGUAACUGGUCUGAGAGGAUGAUCAGUCACACUGGAACUGAGACACGGUCCAGACUCCUACGGGAGGCAGCAGUGGGGAAUAUUGGACAAUGGGCGAAAGCCUGAUCCAGCCAUGCCGCGUGUGUGAAGAAGGUCUUCGGAUUGUAAAGCACUUUAAGUUGGGAGGAAGGGCAGUAAGUUAAUACCUUGCUGUUUUGACGUUACCAACAGAAUAAGCACCGGCUAACUUCGUG